rnacentral:rRNA from 1 species
UAAGCAUAUCAAUAAGCGGAGGAAAAGAAACCAACAGGGAUUGCCUUAGUAACGGCGAGUGAAGCGGCAACAGCUCAAAUUUGAAAUCUGGCCCUCGUGGUCCGAGUUGUAAUUUGUAGAGGAUGCUUUUGGUGCGGUGCCUUCCGAGUUCCCUGGAACGGGACGCCAGAGAGGGUGAGAGCCCCGUACGGUUGGACACCUACCCUAUAUAUAGCUCCUUCGACGAGUCGAGUAGUUUGGGAAUGCUGCUCUAAAUGGGAGGUAAAUUUCUUCUAAAGCUAAAUACCGGCCAGAGACCGAUAGCGCACAAGUAGAGUGAUCGAAAGAUGAAAAGCACUUUGAAAAGAGGGUUAAAUAGCACGUGAAAUUGUUGAAAGGGAAGCGUUUGCGACCAGACCUUCUCCUGGCGGAUCAUCCGGUGUUUUCACCGGUGCACUUCGCCUGGUUUAGGCCAGCAUCGGUUUCUGUAGGGGGAUAAAGGCCUGGGGCACGUAGCUCCCCCGGGAGUGUUAUAGCCCCUAGCGUAAUGCCCUUACGGGGACCGAGGACCGCGCUUCGGCAAGGAUGCUGGCGUAAUGGUCGUCAACGACCCGUCUUGAAACACGGACCAAGGAGUCGAACAUUUGUGCGAGUGUUUGGGUGUUAAACCCUCACGCGUAAUGAAAGUGAACGGAGGUGAGAGCCCUUUGGGGUGCAUCAUCGACCGAUCCUGAUGUCUUCGGAUGGAUUUGAGUAAGAGCAUAACUGUUCGGACCCGAAAGAUGGUGAACUAUGCGUGGAUAGGGUGAAGCCAGAGGAAACUCUGGUGGAGGCUCGCAGCGGUUCUGACGUGCAAAUCGAUCGUCAAAUCUGCGCAUGGGGGCGAAAGACUUAUCGAACCAUCUAGUAGCUGGUUACCGCCGAAGUU